rnacentral:lncRNA from 1 species
CUUGUACAGCAUCAAUUUUCUUACAUUCUCAGUUAAUUGGCCAUUAAAGUGCUGGAAAUUUUCUUAAUCAUGAUAACAUUUGUUAAAAAGAAAUCAGAACUAAUAUCAGGAACAUGGCGGCAUGAAGGAAACAGUUCCCUUACAAAACACAGAAAAUGGAAGCCCCUCAUGUUGAGGGGGUGGGUUGGACAAUUUGCAAACAGAUUCUAAUUUCCUCUCACCGUCAGCACCAAACUGGCUGGGACCACCACCCCUGGGUGAAAGAAACAACACUAAAGAACCCUAAAAACACCCACACACCCUGACUACCACCACCUCUGGGCCAUCUGUGGGCGUUUGCUGUUUGAACAGAUCCAGUCUCAGGAAAGAGGAAGACCUGACCUCCGUCUGCAACCCAUCACCCCACCCACCCUUACUAACAAAAGCCCCCAAAGUCAUUACAAUGAAAAAGUGGGUUUCCAUUACCCCAAAACUAACAAUGUUCAGUAAAAAUGAGGAUAAUAAACACAAAAGCUUGCUUAGUAAACAGGAGCUCUCAGCAGUCAAUGCAAAAAAAUAUAUAUAUAUGAAAUCUUAAGGCAAAUACUGUUGACUUUGCACAUGGGCUGGACGAACUUGGAACUCUUUACCUAUCUGUAUAGUUCCAGGAGCCUACAGGCGGUCGGUUUUUCAGCGCUUGCCACCGGGCCAGGCAAGGUCUUUGCAUGAUUGCUGAGGCAGUCGGUGUGUUUCCCUUUGGAGUUUAUAUAGGAACACACCACCCAAGGCUGAUGUUUUGUUAUAUAUAUAUAUAUGUACACACAUACAAAGGCCUGCUACUCUUUCUUUGUGGAAACUGACAGCUCCACCUCGGGAAGCUGGAUGCCAACCUUAUUCCCACUGUCAUUGCUAGAAGAGGAGGACAGUCGGGACUUCUUAGAGGCCAGGGACACCCCACUCCCCUGUAACUUGCCUGUCUCAUCAUCGCUCCCAGUCACCUCAUAAUGACCUUUGCUCUUUGACCCCAAUCCACCAAAGGUACCGAAUUUCAGCUUCCCGUGUUUCCCUUUAACUUUCCCACCUUCCAGAGACACUUCCCCACCUUCAAACUCCAGCGUCCCCGUCGGGGUGGAAGGUCCAGAGAACUCUCUUUCAUCACUGAAUGAAUUUGAGCGGUGCCGUGGCUUCUUACUUUUAAAUAAGGAGAAUUUGCCUUUCGGUGAAGAGGCUUCGGCCUCUGCCUCUCCUUCCAGAGAGCCCAGGCUGGCCUUUGAACUUUUCAGGUCACCUUUGGACCCAGAAAUUGAUGCUUCUGGUGAGCCAGUGACACCACCUUUCCCUUUAGGUUUGGAAAAAUUAAACUUGGGCAUUUUGAUCUUGGACUUUUUCAGUUUGACUUCAGACUCUUCCCACUCGCCGUCUCCAGCACCAGCUUGGAUGCUGGCCUCUGCUUUAGGGAAGUGAACAUCCACCCCCAUUUCUCUGCCAACCAGCUCACGGCCAGAGAAGGUAAAUUUGGGGAUCUUCAUUUUAGGGAAUGUUACUUUUCCAGAUCCACUUUCCAAGUGACCUUGAGGCCCAGACACACUCAGCCCAGGAGCCUGGAGUCCAAUCUGACCUCCUUUCACACCUCCUUCCACCUUUGGUCCUGAGAAAUGAAGGCCCCCAGCAAACUUAGAUGUGUCCAAGUUGAGAGCAGAGGAGACUUGGGGUCCCUUCCACUCACCCCCGGAACCUUUAACACUCAAAUGCCCUUCACCAAGGCUGAUGUCUGGGGCACUGACACCCCCUGAAACAUCCGCACCUCCUUUGAUUUUUGGGCCCUUCAAGUUGAUGCCAAAAUCUGACUCAGGAGAUGCCAUAUUAAAGGCAGGCCCCUUCACACUGAUAUCAGGAGCAGCCCCAUGGAAACCUACUUCUGAACCUUUCAGACCACCUUUGAUUUCAGGCCCAGAAAUCUGCCCAGUUGGGAGUUUCACAUUCACGCCUGGCAGGUUCACAUCACAUCCAGAGGACUUAAUUCCAGGCAUCUGGAGGUUUCCUUCUAGGCCUUGAACACCAAUGCCUGGAAGACCUCCUCCGACAGUGGGGCCUUUGAUCUCACCAGUGGCCCCAAGGCUCCCUUUCACUUUUGGUCCUUCCAAGUUAAAGUCCACAUUCGGUGCUGAAAUCCGAGGCCCUUUCAGGUUCACAUCCACACCUGGCCCCUUCAGUUCGCCAGAAACCUGUGGCCCCUUGGCAUUGACGUGCAAGUCGGACCCCGGAGUAGAGAUGCCAAAUUGGGGCAGCUUCAUUUUGGGAAGUUUAAUGCUGCCUUCGGAUGCCUCCAAGCUUAGAUCAGGAGCUCCUACGGAUACUUUAGGGCAUUUGAUGUCACCAGAGACAGCCAGAUCUCCCUGCAGGCUUGGUCCCCUCAGUGUCACAUCUGGUGCCCCAACGUUAAGCUUUGUUGUGGCAUCGAUCCCUGGCACUUUCACACCGUCUCCUCCCACCUGCAUUUUGCCACCGACACCACUGAGGUUGAGCCCUGGAGCAUGCACCUUCAUGCUGGGAACAGAUGCAUCCAGGUCUCCCUUCAAACUUGGUCCUUUCAAGUUCAGAUCAAGGUCAGGCCCAGAGACUUUUGGCAUAGAGAGGUUCACUGAAGGCAAGUCUACUCCUGGCCCCUUUAGAGAAACAUCGGGCCCUUCGAGCUUAACAUCUGGUCCUCUCAAGUCUCCUUCAAGAGAGGGUAGCUGGGCAUGGACCUCGGCUCCCCCACCCUCCAUUUUCACACCUGGGAUGCCGAUCUUGGGCAUGGAAAACUUGGGGAACUUAAUUUUUGCUUCUGGACCUUGCAGAUCUACAUCUGGUCCUUCCAGUCCCACGCUGGGGACAUCACCCUUUAUCUUUGGUCCUUUCAAGUUUACAUUCACAUCAGGGAUGGAGACUUGAGGGGCAGAAAUGCCGAAGGACGGUGUUUUGACUUUAGCAUCUAGGCCUUCGAUGUUGAUGUCAGGUGCACCCAAGUUUGCCUGCACUUUGGGGCCUUUCAGGUCACCCUCUAUUUUUGGCACUGAGAUGUCCACAUCUGGCAUCUUGACCUUGGGAGCCUUCGCCUUGAUGUCAAGACCUUCGACGUGAAUCGCUGGCAAAGAAAGUUCCAGAUCAGGUGCCUGGAGUUCACCCUCCAGUUUGGGGCUAGGGAGAGGGGCCUCAGCUUUAAAUUUAGGUGAUUUAAUGUCAAACUCUACAUCUGGGAAGUACAUUUUUCCAAACAUCGUUUUCUUGGUUUUGGGCGAUUUCACGUCGACUUUGAGUGCAGCAUCCGGCCCUGCGAUGUUGACAUCUACAUCCGGAGCCUUGAGGCUGGCAUCAAUUUCACCCCCAGGAACAUUCAGGUCAAAUCCCUGUUUUUUGGCCUUAAUCUUAGGACCACUCAUAUGAAUUUUAGGCAUUUUAAACUUACUUUUCUUGCCCUUGCCACCAACACUAAUUUCAGGAGUCUCAAGGUUCAGCUCUGCCUCAGGAACAGUGACAUCCAGUGAAGGUGACUUGAUGUCAGCUUUGGGGCUUUUUGCCCCAAAUCCAAACUUGGGUUUCUUAAAUUUGGGGAUUUUAACAUCUGGCCCUUCGAUGUUAAUAUCUGGGCUGUCCAUGUGUACAUCUAAGCUUGGAGCUUCAACUUUGGGUCCCUUGAGGUCCACUUCACCACCUUCUAACUUCGGACCUGAAAAUCCAAUUUUUGGUGCCUUGAGAUGCAAAUCAACAUCAGGAGCAGUUACUUUAGGAGCAGAUAUCUCCAGCGAUGGCAUCUUCAAAGAUGGGCCACUGAGUUUGGCAUCAGGGCCUUCGAAAUCCAGACGUGGACCUUUAAGAUCUACUUCUGGGCCUUUCAAAGUCCCUUCAACCUUAGGGACAGACACAUCAAAAUCUCCUUUUACUUUGGGUCCUUUCAAAUCCAGGUCAACAUCAGGUAUGGAGAUCUUGGGAGCUUUGAUAUUUAUUUCAGGCAUCUUGAACUUGGGGCCCUUCAGUUUUGCGUCUGGACCUUCGAUAUUCACAUCUGGAAUAUCAACGUCCACCUUGGGUCCCGAGACAUCGAUGUCGGCCUUGGGCAGGCUCACAUCCACAUCUGGACCUUCUCCUUUGAAGCCAGGCAUGCUGAAUUUGGGCAUUUUCACCUUGGGCAUCUUCAGGUGCCAGUCUGGGCCAUGAACAUCCACAUCAGGGGUGUUGAUGUCCACUUUUGGGCCCUUGAUGUCAGCUUCUGGGCCCUUGAGGUCACCUUCCACUUUAGGAAGGGUAACAUCCACAUCGCCCUUCACUUUGGGUCCUUUCAGGUUUAAGUCAAUAUCAGGCAUGGAGAUCUUGGGGGCUUUGAUGCUCAUCUCAGGCAUCUUGAACUUGGGGCCCUUUAGUUUCGCAUCUGGACCUUCGAUAUUCACAUCAGGAACAUCAACGUCCACUUUGGGUCCUGAGACAUCAAUGUCAGCCUUGGGCAGGUUCACAUCCACAUCUGGGCCCUCUCCUUUGAAGCCAGGCAUGCUGAACUUGGGCAUUUUCACUUUGGGCAUUUUUAGGUGCCAGUCUGGGCCUUGAACGUCCACAUCUGGGACAUCAAUGUCCACUUUGGGGUCCCUGAUGUCAACUUCGGGGCCCUUGAGGUCGCCUUCCACUUUGGGCAGAGAAAUGUCCAUGUCGCCCUUCACCUUUGGACCUUUCAGAUUCAGGUCAACUUCAGGCAUAGAGAUCUUCGGUGCCUUGAGGUGUAAGUCAGGCAUUUUAAAUUUGGGGCCCUUCAGUUUCCCUUCUGGACCAUGAAUGUCAAUAUCAGGAGUGUCAAUGCCCACUUUAGGGCCUUUGACAUCCACUUUGGGACCUUUCAGAUCUCCCUCCAGUUUAGGAACGGAAAUGUCCAUAUCUCCUUUUAUCUUAGGUCCUUUCAAAUUCAAAUCAAUGUCACUCAUGGAGAUUUGUGGGCUUUUGAAAUGUACAUCAGGCAUCUUAAACUUGGGACCUUUGAGCUUCCCUUCAGGACCUUCAAUGUCUACCUCUGGCCCUUUCAGAUCACUUUCCACCUUAGGUAGUGAAACAUCCACAUCACCCUUCACCUUGGGACCUUUCAGGUGCAAAUCAAAGUCAGGCAUAGAGAUUUUGGGAGCUUUGAUGUUCAUCUCAGGCAUCUUAAAUUUGGGCCCCUUCAAUUUUCCUUCCGGACCUUCAAUAUUGACAUCAGGUGUGUCAAUGUCCAAACUGGGGCCUUUUAUGUCAAUUUCAGGGCCCUUGAGAUCACCUUCCACUUUGGGCAGAGAGACAUCCACAUCACCUUUCACUUUGGGACCCUUCAAGUUAAAGUCAAUGUCAGGCAUGGAGAUUUUGGGGGCCUUGAUGUUCAUCUCUGGCAUCUUGAACUUUGGACCCUUGAGUUUUGCAUCUGGACCUUCGAUACUGACAUCAGGGGCAUCAAUGUCCACUUUGGGGCCAGAAAUCUCAAUGUCAGCCUUAGGAAGGGUAACAUCCACAUCUGGGCCCUCUCCUUUGAAUCCUGGCAUGCUGAAUUUGGGCAUUUUCACCUUGGGCAUCUUCAGGUGCCAGUCUGGGCCAUGAACAUCUACAUCAGGGGCAUCGAUGUCCACUUUGGGGCCCUUGAUGUCAACUUCUGGGCCCUUGAGGUCACCUUCCACUUUAGGAAGGGAAACAUCCACAUCACCCUUCACCUUGGGACCUUUCAGAUGCAAAUCAAAGUCAGGCAUGGAGAUCUUGGGGGCUUUGAUGUUCAUCUCAGGCAUCUUGAAUUUAGGGCCCUUUAGUUUCGCAUCUGGACCUUCGAUAUUCACAUCAGGAACAUCAAUGUCCACCUUGGGUCCUGAGACGUCAAGGUCAGCCUUGGGCAGGUUCACAUCCACAUCUGGGCCCUCUCCUUUGAAGCCAGGCAUGCUGAACUUGGGCAUUUUCACUUUGGGCAUUUUUAAGUGCCAGUCUGGGCCUUGAACGUCCACAUCUGGGACAUCAAUGUCCACUUUGGGGCCCUUGAUGUCAACUUCAGGGCCCUUGAGGUCGCCUUCCACUUUGGGCAGAGAAACGUCCACGUCGCCCUUCAUCUUUGGACCUUUCAGAUUCAGGUCAACUUCAGGCAUAGAGAUCUUCGGUGCCUUGAGGUGCAGGUCAGGCAUUUUAAAUUUGGGGCCCUUCAGUUUCCCUUCUGGACCAUGAAUAUCAAUAUCAGGAGUGUCAAUGUCCACUUUGGGUCCUGAGACAUCAAUGUCAGCUUUGGGCAAAUUAACAUCCACUUCUGGGCCCUCUCCUUUAAAUCCUGGCAUGCUGAAUUUGGGCAUUUUCACCUUGGGCAUCUUCAGGUGCCAGUCUGGGCCAUGAACAUCCACAUCUGGGGCAUCAAUGUCCACUUUGGGGCCCUUGAUGUCAACUUCAGGGGCCUUUAGAUCACCUUCCAUCUUAGGCAGAGAAACAUCCACAUCUCCUUUCACCUUAGGGCCUUUCAGAUGCAAAUCAAAGUCAGGCAUGGAGAUCUUGGGGGCUUUGAUGUUCAUCUCUGGCAUCUUGAAUUUAGGGCCCUUCAGUUUCGCAUCUGGACCUUCAAUAUUCACAUCUGGAACAUCAACGUCCACCUUGGGUCCUGAGACGUCAAGGUCAGCCUUGGGCAGGUUCACAUCCACUUCUGGACCUUCUCCUUUGAAGCCAGGCAUGCUGAUCUUGGGCAUUUUUAUCUUAGGCAUCUUCAGGUGCCAGUCUGGGCCUCGAACAUCCACAUCUGGGGCAUUAAUAUCCACUUUGGGGCCUUUAAUAUCCAAGUCAGGAACUUGCAUGUCACCUUCCACUUUUGGCAGAGACACAUCCAUAUCACCCUUCACUUUGGGUCCUUUCAGGUUAAGAUCAAUGUCAGGCAUGGAGAUCUUGGGGGCUUUGAUGUUCAUCUCAGGCAUCUUGAAUUUGGGACCUUUCAACUUUCCCUCUGGGCCUUCGAUAUUCACAUCUGGAACAUCAAUGUCCACCUUGGGUCCUGAGACAUCAAGGUCAGCCUUGGGCAGGUUCACAUCCACAUCUGGGCCCUCUCCUUUGAAGCCAGGCAUGCUGAACUUGGGCAUUUUCACCUUGGGCAUCUUCAGGUGCCAGUCUGGGCCUUGAACAUCAACAUCUGGAGCAUUAAUGUCCACUUUGGGGCCCUUGAUGUCAACUUCAGGACCCUUGAGGUCACCUUCCAUUUUGGGCAGAGAAACAUCCACAUCGCCCUUGACUUUGGGGCCCUUCAGGUUUAAAUCAAUGUCAGGCAUCGAUAUUUUGGGAGCCUUCAGGUGCAUCUCUGGUAUCUUAAAUUUGGGUCCCUUGAAUUUACCCUCUGAGCCUUCGAUGUUAAUGUCAGGAGUGUCAAUGUCCACUUUGGGGCCCUUGAUGUCCACCUCAGGGCCUUUUAGAUCACCUUCCACUUUGGGCAAAGACACAACCACAUCACCCUUCAUUUUGGGUCCCUUCAAGUUCAGGUCAAAGUCAGGCAUGGAGAUCUUGGGGGCUUUGAUGUUCAUCUCAGGCAUCUUGAACUUGGGGCCCUUCAGCUUUGCAUCUGGACCUUCAAUAUUCACGUCUGGAACAUCAACGUCUACAUUGGGACCAGAAAUGUCAAUGUCAGCUUUAGGGAGGGUAACAUCGACUUCAGGGCCUUCUCCUUUGAAGCCAGGCAUGCUGAACUUGGGCAUUUUCACUUUGGGCAUCUUCAGAUGCCAGUCUGGACCAUGAACAUCCACAUCUGGGGCAUUGAUGUCCACUUUAGGGCCUUUGAUAUCAACCUCUGGCCCUUUCAGAUCCCCUUCAAGUUUGGGAAGAGAAAUAUCCACAUCACCUUUCACCUUGGGGCCUUUCAAGUUUAAGUCAAUGUCAGGCAUGGAGAUCUUGGGAGCUUUGAUAUUCAUGUCAGGCAUCUUGAAUUUGGGACCUUUCAAGCCUCCCUCCGGACCUUCCACAUUGAGAUCUGGGCCCUCAAUGUUCAUACUUGGGCCCUCUAUGUUGAUGUCUCCUUUUGGUAGAUCCACAGCUACAUCUGGCCCUUCUGCUUUUAAGCCAGACACACUGAAUUUGGGCAUUUUCAUCUUGGGCAUUUUCAGAUUCCAGUCUGGACCAUGAACAUCCACAUCAGGUGCAUUAAGAUUGACUUCUGGUGCCUUAAUAUCCACUUUGGGGCCUUUAAAGUCACCUUCUAAAUUGGGACCUGCAAUAUCUAAGUCUCCUUUGACUUUGGGACUUUUCAAAUUUAGCUCCACGUCAGGCAUAGAAACUUUGGGAGAUGAAAUACUCAGGAAAGGCAUUUUAAACUUGGAUCCUUUCACUUUUCCUUGGACCUCGACAUCAGGAGCAUUAAUAUCAACUUUUGGACCUGUUAUGUCAAUAUCUGGCUUUUUACCUUUGACAUCCACUUCAGGUGUCUGAACUUUAGAGCCCGAAAAAUUAAAUUUGGGAAGCUUAAAACGAGAUUUCUUUGACUUGCCUUCGAUAUUAAGCUUAGGACCGGAAACGUCCACUUCUGGGCCCUUUAUAUCCAAACUGGGAGCUUUAAUGUCACCUUCCAACUUGGGCCCAGAGACAUCAACAUCUCCCUUAAGCUUUGAGCCUUUCAAAUUCAAGUCAAUUUCUGGCAUGGAGAUCUUGGGCAUGUUUACAUGCAUGUCAGGCAUCUUCAGUUUUGGACCUUUUAAUUUGGCAUCUGGGCCAUGAAUGUCAAUAUCUGGAGCAUCUACAUCUAUCUUUGGGCCUUUUAUGUCAAGAGCAGGUCCUUUCAAAUCACCUUCUACAUUUGCAAGUGAAACAUCCACCUCUCCUUUCAUUUUAGGGCCUUUAAGAUUGAGGUCCAAAUCAGGCAUUGAUAUUUUAGGAGCUUUGAUGUUCAUCUCUGGCAUCUUGAAUUUAGGGCCCUUCAGUUUCGCAUCUGGACCUUCAAUAUUCACAUCUGGAACAUCAACGUCCACCUUGGGUCCUGAGACGUCAAGGUCAGCCUUGGGCAGGUUCACGUCCACUUCUGGACCUUCUCCUUUGAAGCCAGGCAUGCUGAUCUUGGGCAUUUUUAUUUUAGGCAUCUUCAGGUGCCAGUCUGGGCCUUGAACAUCCACAUCUGGGGCAUUAAUAUCCACUUUGGGGCCUUUAAUAUCCACGUCAGGAACUUUCAUGUCACCUUCCACUUUUGGCAGAGACACAUCCAUGUCACCCUUCACUUUGGGACCUUUCAGGUUAAGAUCAAUGUCAGGCAUGGAGAUCUUGGGGGCUUUGAUGUUCAUCUCAGGCAUUUUGAAUUUGGGACCUUUCAACUUUCCCUCUGGGCCUUCGAUAUUCACAUCUGGAACAUCAAUGUCCACCUUGGGUCCUGAGACAUCAAGGUCAGCCUUGGGCAGGUUCACAUCCACAUCUGGGCCCUCUCCUUUGAAGCCAGGCAUGCUGAAUUUGGGCAUUUUCACUUUGGGCAUUUUUAGGUGCCAGUCUGGGCCUUGAACGCCCACAUCCGGGACAUCAAUGUCCACUUGGGGACCCCUGAUGUCAACUUCAGGGCCCUUGAGGUCACCUUCCACUUUGGGCAGAGAAAUAUCCACAUCGCCCUUCACCUUGGGACCUUUCAGAUGCAAAUCAAAGUCAGGCAUGGGGAUCUUGGGGGCUUUGAUAUUCAUCUCUGGCAUCUUGAACUUGGGCCCUUUCAACUUUCCCUCUGGUCCUUCAAUGUUAACAUCAGGGCCUUCAACGUCCACUUUGGGGCCUGAGACAUCAACGUCAGCCUUGGGCAGGUUCACAUCCACUUCAGGGCCCUCUGCUUUGAAGCCAGGCAUGCUGAACUUGGGCAUUUUCAUCUUGGGCAUCUUCAGGUGCCAGUCUGGACCCUGAACAUUAACAUCUGGGACAUCAAUGUCCACUUUGGGGCCUUUGAGGUCAACUUCAGGACCUUUCAGAUCUCCCUCUACCUUAGGGCCUGUAACAUCCACAUCUCCUUUUAUUUUUGGACCUGUGAGAUUCAGGUCAAUAUCUGGCAUGGAUAUCUUUGGAGUCUUAAAAUGCAUCUCUGGCAUCUUAAACUUUGGACUUUUCCACUUUCCUUCAGGUCCUUCGAUAUUCACAUCGGGACAUUCAACAUCCACUUUCGGUCCUGAGACAUCAAUGUCAGCCUUGGGCAGGUUCACGUCCACAUCUGGACCUUCUCCUUUGAAGCCAGGCAUGCUGAUCUUGGGCAUUUUUAUCUUGGGCAUCUUUAGGUGCCAGUCUGGGCCAUGAACAUCAACAUCAGGUGCGUCAAUGUCCACUUUUGGGCCCUUGAUGUCAACUUCUGGGCCCUUGAGGUCACCUUCCACUUUAGGAAGGGAAACAUCCACAUCACCCUUCACUUUGGGUCCUUUCAGGUUUAAGUCAAUAUCAGGCAUGGAGAUCUUGGGGGCUUUGAUAUUCAUCUCUGGCAUCUUGAACUUAGGCCCUUUCAACUUUCCCUCUGGUCCUUCAAUGUUAACAUCAGGGCCUUCAAUGUCCACUUUGGGUCCUGAGACAUCAAUGUCAGCCUUGGGCAGCUUCACAUCCCCAUCUGGGCCCUCUCCUUUGAAGCCAGGCAUGCUGAACUUUGGCAUUUUCACCUUGGGCAUCUUCAGGUGCCAGUCUGGGCCUUGAACACCCACAUCUGGGGCAUUAAUAUCCACUUUGGGCCCCUUGAUGUCAACUUCGGGGCCCUUGAGGUCACCUUCCACUUUGGGCAGAGAAACAUCCACAUCGCCCUUCACCUUGGGACCUUUCAGAUGCAAAUCAAAGUCAGGCAUGGAGAUCUUGGGGGCUUUGAUGUUCAUCUCUGGCAUCUUUAACUUAGGCCCUUUCAACUUUCCCUCUGGUCCUUCAAUAUUAACAUCAGGGCCUUCAAUGUCCACCUUGGGUCCUGAGAUGUCAACGUCAGCCUUAGGCAAGUUGACGUCUACUUCAGGGCCCUCUGCUUUGAAGCCAGGCAUGCUGAACUUGGGCAUUUUCAUCUUGGGCAUCUUCAGGUGCCAGUCUGGAGCUUGGACAUCGGGGGCAUUUACAUCAACUUUGGGGCCCCUGAUGUUCAUAUCUGGUACUUCAAGUUUACCUUCUACCUCAGGCACAGACACAUCCACAUCCCCCUUGAUUUUGGGUCCUUUGAGAUUUAGAUCAACAUCAGGCAUAGAAAUAUUGGGGGCUUUGAAAUGCAUAUCAGGCAUCUUGAACUUAGGGCCUUUCAAUUUGCCCUCUGGUCCCUCAAUGUCAAUGUCUGGCCCACUGACAUCCACAUGUGGCCCUUUAAGGUCCCCUUCCAAUUUGGGAACAUCUACAUCCACCUCUCCUUUUGCCUUGGGGCUCUUCAAGUGUAGAUCGAGGUCUGGCAUAGAGAUUUUGGGAGCUUUAAAGUGCAUAUCUGGCAUCUUGAACUUAGGAGUUUUCCACUUGCCAUUUGGGCCUUCCACAGCUACUUCUGGCAUGUCAGCAUCUAAUUUGGGACCUUUGACAUCCAAUUCUGGACCUUUUAACUCUCCCUCCAGCUUUGGGGCAGAAACAUCAACAUCUCCUUUGAUUUUGGGUCCCUUUAAAUUGAAAUCAACAUCAGGCAUGGAGAUCUUGGGGGUCUUGAAGUGCAUCUCAGGCAUCUUAAACUUGGGGCCCUUCAGCUUCCCUUCUGGACCUUCAAGGCUCACAUCUGGGACUUCAACAUCCACCUUGGGUCCUGAGACAUCAACGUCAGCCUUGGGCAAGUUCACAUCCACUUCUGGGCCCUCUCCUUUGAAGCCAGGCAUGCUGAACUUGGGCAUUUUCAUCUUAGGCAUCUUCAGGUGCCAGUCUGGGCCAUGAACAUCCACAUCUGGGGCAUCAAUGUCCACUUUGGGCCCUCUGAUGUCAACAUCUGGCACUUUCAUUUCACCUUCUACCUUGGGAACAGACACAUCCAUAUCCCCUUUGACUUUGGGGCCUUUCAAGUUUAAGUUCACAUCAGGCAUGGAGAUCUUGGGGGUCUUGAAGUGCAUCUCAGGCAUCUUAAACUUGGGCCCUUUCAACUUUGCAUCAGGACACUCCAGCUCAACAUCAGGCACCUCCACAUCCACACUGGGGCCUGUUAAAUCUCCCUCCAAUUUUGGCAAAGACACAUCCACAUCCCCUUUGACUUUGGGGCCUUUCAAGUGUAAGUCCACAUCAGGCAUGGAGAUCUUGGGGGCCUUGAUAUUCAUCUCUGGCAUCUUGAACUUGGGGCCCUUCAGCUUUCCUUCAGGUCCUUCAAUAUUCACAUCUGGAACUUCAACACCCACCUUGGGUCCUGAGAUGUCCACAUCAGCCUUGGGCAGGUUCACAUCCACUUCUGGGCCCUCUGCUUUGAAGCCAGGCAUGCUGAACUUGGGCAUUUUCAUCUUGGGCAUCUUCAGGUGCCAGUCUGGGCCUUGAACCUCCACAUCUGGGACAUCAAUGUCCAUUUUGGCACUUUUAAGUUCAACAUCAGGAACUUUAAUCUCACUUUCAACCUUUGGCAUUGUGACAUCAUAUUCUCCCUUUACGUUAGGGCCUUUCAGAUGUAAGUCCACAUCAGGCAUGGAGAUCUUGGGGACUUUGAUGUUCAUCUCAGGCAUCUUAAACUUGGGCCCUUUCAAUUUCCCUUCUGGUUCCUCAAUGCUCACAUCAGGAGCAGUAACAUCUAUCUUGGGCCCGGAAAUGUCCACAUCAGCCUUGGGCAGGUUCACAUCCACUUCUGGGCCCUCUGCUUUGAACCCUGGCACACUGAAUUUGGGCAUUUUCAUCUUGGGCAUCUUCAAGUGCCAGUCUGGGCCAUGAACAUCCACAUCUGGGGCAUCAAUGUCCACUUUUGGGCCUUUGAGUUCUCCUUCCAGCUUUGGUACAGUUACAUCAUACUCUCCCUUCACCUUUGUACCUUUCACGUGCAAAUCUACAUCAGGCAUGGAGAUCUUUGGUGUCUUGACACUCAUAUCAGGCAGCUUAACAUCGGGGCCUUUAAGUUUUCCCCCCAGACCCUCCAAGUUGACAUCUGGGGCUUCCACAUUGACCUUGGGCCCUGAAAUACUGAUAUCUCCUUUGGGUAGAGUCAUAUGAACAUCUGGACCUUCCCCUUUGGCUCCUGGAGUGCUGAACGUGGGCAUUUUCAUCUUGGGCAUUUUCAGGUUCCAUUCUGGGCCAUGCGCUUCGACAUCUGGGGCACUGACAUCCACUUUGGGGCCUCUGACAUCAACUUCAGGGACUUUGACUUUCCCUUCUACUCUGGGGAGUGUGACAUCUACACCCCCUUUCACUUUAGGUGCGGCCACAUUUAAGUCUACUUCUGACAUAGAGAUCCUACAGGUUCCGGUUUUCCCGGAAGGACUGCCAAGCCUAGGGCC